GCAGCAGGCCGGUCUGCCGCCCGUCUCUUCGCGAGGCGGGAGGAAAGUCCGGGCAACACAGAGCGCCAUGCUUCCUAACGGGAAGCUGUCCGCGAGGGCAGAGCAAUGUAACAGAAAAUAACCGCCGCACGUGUUGCGGCAAGGGUGAAAAGGCGAGGUAAAAGCUCACCGUUCCCGUGGCGACGCGGGAAGCCGUACACCUGAUGGGUUGCAAGGUCAUGUAUACCGGCGCUACAGGGUAGCUCGCCCGAUGCCGGGGGGUAGACCGCACGAGCCUGCCGGCGACGGCAGGCCAAGAUGAAUGGCAGACGCUUCUCCGCCCCGCACAAGGGCAGAGAAAAACAGAACCCGGCUUACAGGCCGGCUGCAUCU
rnacentral:RNase_P_RNA from 1 species